CUUCGAGGCCCCUGCAGCAGCAGCAGCGGCGUGGUCAGAGCGAGCUUCGGAGAAGCAGUGGUGGGUUCCAUGUGAUGGUGGAGUAGGAGGCAGGUCUCCGCGGCUCAUCUGUGUUGCUCUAAAUGACACUGUUUCAUUAUUUUGAUGGCUGGAGAAUAUUUCCUAGUGUAUGUAGAUGAGAGUUUCUUGAUCUCUUUAUCUGUGGAUGAACAGGCUAGUCACGCUGCUGUGGAAUAGAAGGCCAGAAUUGAUCAGUCUCAUCUGAGAGUAACUUUGUACCCAUCACUGAUUCCUUCUGAGACUGCCUCCACUUCCCCAGCAGUCUCUGGUUUCUUCAUGUGGCUGCAGAUGGCAGGAUUUCCCAAAGGUUUAUGGCUGAAACAUAUUCCGUGGUGUAUCUGUACAGCAGUUUCCUCAUCCCUGCAGCUGUGUUUGAACAGGUCAUUUACCAUGAAUCCUCCAGGUUCAACAGUAUGGCUCCAAAUGAUGAAAUUUCCUUCUGAUUUUCUGGCUGAAGACUAUUCUUUUUGUGUAUGUCCACCACAGUUACUUUAUCCCUUCAUCUGUGGAUGGGCAGGAUGGAGUCUCACUGUAUUGCCCAGGCUGGAGUGCAGUGGCAUGAUCUCAGCUCACUGCAAGCUCUGCUUCCUGGGUUCACGCCAUUCUCCUGCCUCAGCCUCCUGAGUAGCUGGGAUUACAGGCACCCGCCACCACGCCCAGGUGGUUUCCACAAGAAAAAUGGCACAAUGUUUCUCAGAAGACAAUUACAUAAAAAUCAGCAUACUUCAAAUUCACAGCAAAUAAUCAGACAAUUGAUGAAAAUACUUACCCAAACACUAAUUGUAGACUAUGCCUUCUGAAUAUGUUUGUCAUAAACUUGGAGUAAGGAAUCCUCACAGGCACUGGACAAUUCAAAAAAUGUAAAGUUGUUUGUUAGAAUACUGGUGCUUUUGGGUAGAAACCCUCAUCCAUAUCCUGGUAAGGCUUGAAGUUGCACAGGAGUUUUCAUUUGUCAAAACCCAGAAAACCAUAAGCUUUAGAUUUGCGAAUUUUAUAUUGUAUUAUAUGUGACCUUUCUUUUUAAAAAAUGAGCUGUAAGCAGUCUCCCAGACAGUAGCUCAGCCUCCAGAACUCUCUUUCUGCAUAGUUGAAGACACCUCUUCACACAAGAUGGUAGCAACAAAUCAUAGGUGCAAUUGCACCAAAUUCACAGAAGAUCAAUUGAAAAUCCUCAUCAAUACCUUCACUCAAAAACCUUACCCAGGUUAUGCUACCAAACAAAAACUUGCUUUAGCAAUCAAUGCAGCAGAGUCCAGAAUCCAGAUUUGGUUUCAGAAUCAAAGAGCUAGGCAUGGAUUCCAGAAAACACCAGAACCUGACUUUAGAUUUAAGCCACAGCCAUGGACAAGAUUUACCUGGUGUGGAGUUUCAAAAUAGAGAAGCCAGAUGGUGUCGUACCACCUAUAGCACCUUUCAAUUACACACAGUCAUCCAUGCAUUUAUGAAAAACCCAUACCCUGGGAUUGAUUCCAGAGAACAACUUGCUGAAGAAAUUGGUGCUUCAGAGUUAAGAGUCCAAAUUUGGUUCCAAAAUCGAAGAUCUAGAUUUCAUCUCCAGAGAAAAAGAGAACCUGUUAUGUCCUUAGAAUGAGAAGACCAGAGAAGACCAGGGGCAAGGUUUCUGAGGGACUUCAAGGUACAGAAGAUACACAAAAUGGCACCAGCCUCACUAGCACUCUCAUUUCUCAGGAGCCAGAACAUGGUGAAUACAGUCAAGUUCGGUGUAUUUGAUAAUAUCAAUUUGGGCCCCAAAUCUCUCUCACAGUCUUCCUGGGAGUCUAUUCUUCUUCCAAAAGUGCAAGCUAAGCCUUCUGAAGAUGGUAAAGAACUUGACCGGGUGUAGUGGCUCAUGCCUGUAAUCCCAGCACUUUAGGAGGCUGAGGCUGGAAGAUUGCUUGAGCCUAGGAGUUUGAAACCAGUCUGAGCAACAUAGUAAGACCCUGUCUCUAUUCU
rnacentral:lncRNA from 1 species